UACGGAGGGUGCAAGCGUUAUCCGGAUUCACUGGGUUUAAAGGGUGCGUAGGUGGGAAUGUAAGUCAGUGGUGAAAUCUCCGUGCUUAACAUGGAACUGCCAUUGAUACUAUGUUUCUUGAAUUUUUCUGGAGGUAAGCGGAAUAUGUCAUGUAGCGGUGAAAUGCUUAGAUAUGACAUAGAACACCAAUUGCGAAGGCAG
rnacentral:rRNA from 1 species